rnacentral:rRNA from 1 species
UAGGGAAUCUUCCGCAAUGGACGCAAGUCUGACGGAGCAACGCCGCGUGAGUGAAGAAGGAUUUCGGUUCGUAAAACUCUGUUGUUAGAGAAGAACAGCGCAUAGAGUAACUGUUAUGCGUGUGACGGUAUCUAACCAGAAAGCCACGGCUAACUACGUGCCAGCAGCCGCGGUAAUACGUAGGUGGCAAGCGUUGUCCGGAUUUAUUGGGCGUAAAGCGAGCGCAGGCGGUCAAUUAAGUCUGAUGUGAAAGCCCCCGGCUCAACCGGGGAGGGUCAUUGGAAACUGGUUGACUUGAGUGCAGAAGAGGGGAGUGGAUUUCCAUGUGUAGCGGUGAAAUGCGUAGAUAUAUGGAGGAACACCAGUGGCGAAGGCGACUCUCUGGUCUGUAACUGACGCUGAGGCUCGAAAGCGUGGGUAGCAAACAGA